UGGGGAAUUUUGCGCAAUGGGGGAACCCUGACGCAGCGACGCCGCGUGGGUGAUGAAGGCCUUCGGGUUGUAAAGCCCUGUUGGGGGGAAGAUAAUGACGGUACCCCCUGAGGAAGCCCCGGCUAACUACGUGCCAGCAGCCGCGGUAAGACGUAGGGGGCGAGCGUUGUCCGGAAUUACUGGGCGUAAAGGGCGUGUAGGCGGCCUUUCAAGUCGGCUGUGAAAUUCCCCGGCUCAACCGGGGGGGUUGCAGUCGGAACUGGGGGGCUUGAGUGCAGGAGAGGGGGGUGGAAUUCCCGGUGGAGCGGUGAUAUGCGUAGAUAUCGGGAGGAACACCGGUGGCGAAGGCGACCUUCUGGCCUGUUACUGACGCUGAGGCGCGAAAGCCGGGGGAGCAAACAG
rnacentral:rRNA from 1 species